rnacentral:lncRNA from 1 species
GGAAAUAAACUAUUCUAUGAGUAAUGAACGGUUGGUGAAAAUACGAUGAAGACAAACACUAGAGCGUCCGGGAUUCACUUCGGAUAAAUGAGUAGAAAUUGCCCUUGAUCUUUAAUUUUACUCAUAUGAAAAUCAACUAAGGAGUGAUCUCAUAUGGAAGAUAAAACAUCGAUCACAAAUAUAUUGAAAGAUAGAUCUUGAUCAUUGUUUGAGAGAAUAUGUCAAAAUAAGUUGUUGGAAUGUAGAGAUUAUCUAAGCAUUUAUUGUGCCAAAAUUGUCAACAAUAAAUCAAAGUCUUUAACAAACCAAAACCAUUUGUAGAACACAAACUUCAACCAAGUAAGAACAUGAACAUUGAAGAACAAAAUGAAAGAUCAAAGACAAUACUAAACAUUCAUCAAAGUUUCACCCUUAGCUCUAGCUAAAUGUUUAGAAAUACAUAGUGAAAUGUUACAAAGAAAAUGAAGGAAACUAGAAUAUGAUGGAGAGAAUUUGAUUCUUCAAAAUCGUGGCCAAGGUCCCCUUUUAUAGGCAAAGGAACAUCCAAAAUUCAAGUAGGCAAUGCAACUUGUUUCUGUCCAGCUUCAAGACAGCUGGAACAUGCAACUUGAUGCCAAUUUUCAGAUACAUUUUCCAGCGAAUUUUGACAUAUGAUCAACAGAAGAAUUAUUACCACUUGAGUUAGCUUUCCAUUGGUUCAAAUAUCAGGUUCAUUGGAUCUAUAUAACUCCAGAUAUGACAAAAACAAUAAGUGCUGCUUCACAGGUAAAGCUGUAUCCGGCAGGUAACAAGCUGGACUUUUCACGGUAAUUUUGGCUACCUUGUGAUACGAAUUUGACUUCUUCCAAAACAUGAAAGUUGUAGAAACGUGACUUAUAUUUCCAACCCAAC